UGGGCGAUGAGAGACUUGAACUCCCGACCUCCUCGGUGUAAACGAGAUACUCUACCAACUGAGCUAAUCGCCC
rnacentral:tRNA from 1 species